rnacentral:rRNA from 1 species
CCUACGAGAGGCUGCAGUGAGGAAUAUUGGUCAAUGGGCGCGAGCCUGAACCAGCCAAGUCGCGUGAGGGAAGACGGCCCUACGGGUUGUAAACCUCUUUUGUCGGGGAGCAACGGGCGCCACGUGUGGCGCCACUGAGAGUACCCGGAGAAAAAGCAUCGGCUAACUCCGGGCCAGCAGCCGCGGUAAUACGGGGGAUGCGAGCGUUAUCCGGAUUUAUUGGGUUUAAGGGGUGCGUAGGCGGAGCCUUAAGUACGCGGUAAAAUUGAGGGGCUCAACCCCUUCCCGCCAUUGAAACUGGCGCGCGUGAGUGGAAGAGAAGUAUGCGGAAUGCGUGGUGUAGCGGUGAAAUGCAUAGAUAUCACGCAGAACCCCGAUUGCGAAGGCAGCAUGCCGGCUUCCGACUGACGCUGAAGCACGAAAGCGUGGGGAUCGAACAGGAUUAGAUACCCGUGUAGUC